GGUUUACAAAGGCCUGAUCCAGGACUUUCUGCAAGGCUUGCCGGUGCACUUUUGAGCUCAGGAUCAGUGACAGCAGUGAAAUCCGUGCAGGCGUCUUCCUCAACUGUUCCACCACAUCAUACUCACUUUGUUUCAUUAUUUGAAGCAACAACUCCUCCUCUGCUUUAUGCUCAGCAGGCUCUGCUUUCUCUAUCUUCUCUAUUUCCUCGUCUGCAUUCUUCCAUGACUCUCCCACCUUUACUUUCCCUUUUCUCUUUUC
rnacentral:misc_RNA from 1 species